rnacentral:lncRNA from 1 species
UUUUGUCUCAUAAUGAGAGAGAUAUGAUUUAGUCUUUUAGUAAGAAAGCCUAUGAAAAGAAUAAAGAAACAUAUGGAUUGUGUUUCUUAAAGUCAAGUAUUUGUUUUCAUGCUGAUUGAGCAGAGGGGGCCAUGUUCAUCAGUGGCCCAAAUUUUCUUUCUAAAAAAAUACACGUAUUUCUGAGUUUUGAUUUAACUUUCAAAAAUUGUCCAGAGAUCCUAGACUUUUUUUUUUUUUAAGCCAUAAUGGUUGAUGAGGCUCACUGAUCAUUCAAAGCCCACAUAGAAUAUAAUUCUUAUUCUAGACCAUGCAUAAGUCUUCAGAUUUGUUGUUGUUGUUGUUGUAGUUUUAGGGUCUAUUUUAGGUAGGAAUCUAAGAAAGAAAAACAACUUCCGUGUUGCUGUAUGGGAGAAAUAAGAGAUUGUGCACCCUGAAAUUUGGUUCUCAUGUUCCAAAACCACUCCUGUUAAGAGGUAUACGAUGUGAAGUAUCUUAUUUAGUAAUAUUUGAAUUUCCCUUGUGGAAGAUCAUGCCCUUUUCCCCCAGCUGGGCUUCACCGUCUACCACCUUGUAUAGAAUCUGCAGCACUUGAAACAUGUUAUCUUUGAGUUUCAUAGGAUGGGGGUCUCUUUAAUAAUUUACAUUUUUUGAAAAAAAGAAAGUGAAAUAUUCUUUCCAAAGCCAAAGUAAUCGGCAGGAGUGUGUGGUGUUUGUUCAGCUGGAUAUCUUAUUUAUUUGAAGUACUGAGAGAAAUCUCCCCUGACUGCUCAGAAAAGGGAAGAAUAAACAGAGCGGGUGU